rnacentral:rRNA from 1 species
CCUACGGGAGGCAGCAGUAGGGAAUAUUGCUCAAUGGGGGAAACCCUGAAGCAGCAACGCCGCGUGGAGGAUGAAGGUUUUCGGAGUGUAAACUCCUUUUGAUAGAGAAGAGAAGGACGGUAUCUAACGAAUAAGCACUGGCUAACUCCGUGCCAGCAGCCGCGGUAAUACGGAGGGUGCAAGCGUUACGCGGAAUCACUGGGCGUCAAGAGCGCGUAGGCGGGAUCGCAAGUCAGAUGUGAAAUCCUAGGGCUUAACCCUAGAACUGCAUUUGAAACUGUUAUUCUAGAGUAUGGGAGCGGUAGGUGGAAUUCUUGGUGUAGUGGUCAACUCCGU